rnacentral:misc_RNA from 1 species
GUGCUGCCUCCCUGGUGG